rnacentral:rRNA from 1 species
UGGGGAAUAUUGGACAAUGGGGGGAACCCUGAUCCAGCCAUGCCGCGUGUGUGAAGAAGGCCUUAUGGUUGUAAAGCACUUUAAGCGAGGAGGAGGGUACUGGUAUUAAUACUACCAGCUACUGGACGUUACUCGCAGAAUAAGCACCGGCUAACUCUGUGCCAGCAGCCGCGGUAAUACAGAGGGUGCGAGCGUUAAUCGGAUUUACUGGGCGUAAAGCGUGCGUAGGCGGCUAAUUGAGUCGGAUGUGAAAUCCCCGAGCUUAACUUGGGAAUUGCAUUCGAUACUGGUUAGCUAGAAUGUGGGAGAGGAUGGUAGAAUUCCAGGUGUAGCGGUGAAAUGCGUAGAGAUCUGGAGGAAUACCGAUGGCGAAAGCAGCCAUCUGGCCUAACACUGACGCUGAGGUACGAAAGCAUGGGGAGCAAACAGG